CGGAGAAGGCUAUGUUGGCCGGGCGACGGUUGUCCCGGUUUAAGCGUGUAGGCUGGUUUUCCAGGCAAAUCCGGAAAAUCAAGGCUGAGGCGUGAUGACGAGGCACUACGGUGCUGAAGCAACAAAUGCCCUGCUUCCAGGAAAAGCCUCUAAGCAUCAGGUAACAUCAAAUCGUACCCCAAACCGACACAGGUGGUCAGGUAGAGAAUACCAAGGCGCUUGAGAGAACUCGGGUGAAGGAACUAGGCAAAAUGGUGCCGUAACUUCGGGAGAAGGCACGCUGAUAUGUAGGUGAAGUCCCUCGCGGAUGGAGCUGAAAUCAGUCGAAGAUACCAGCUGGCUGCAACUGUUUAUUAAAAACACAGCACUGUGCAAACACGAAAGUGGACGUAUACGGUGUGACGCCUGCCCGGUGCCGGAAGGUUAAUUGAUGGGGUCAGCGCAAGCGAAGCUCUUGAUCGAAGCCCCGGUAAACGGCGGCCGUAACUAUAACGGUCCUAAGGUAGCGAAAUUCCUUGUCGGGUAAGUUCCGACCUGCACGAAUGGCGUAAUGAUGGCCAGGCUGUCUCCACCCGAGACUCAGUGAAAUUGAACUCGCUGUGAAGAUGCAGUGUACCCGCGGCAAGACGGAAAGACCCCGUGAACCUUUACUAUAGCUUGACACUGAACAUUGAGCCUUGAUGUGUAGGAUAGGUGGGAGGCUUUGAAGUGUGGACGCCAGUCUGCAUGGAGCCGACCUUGAAAUACCACCCUUUAAUGUUUGAUGUUCUAACGUGGACCCGUAAUCCGGGUUGCGGACAGUGUCUGGUGGGUAGUUUGACUGGGGCGGUCUCCUCCUAAAGAGUAACGGAGGAGCACGAAGGUUGGCUAAUCCUGGUCGGACAUCAGGAGGUUAGUGCAAUGGCAUAAGCCAGCUUGACUGCGAGCGUGACGGCGCGAGCAGGUGCGAAAGCAGGUCAUAGUGAUCCGGUGGUUCUGAAUGGAAGGGCCAUCGCUCAACGGAUAAAAGGUACUCCGGGGAUAACAGGCUGAUACCGCCCAAGAGUUCAUAUCGACGGCGGUGUUUGGCACCUCGAUGUCGGCUCAUCACAUCCUGGGGCUGAAGUAGGUCCCAAGGGUAUGGCUGUUCGCCAUUUAAAGUGGUACGCGAGCUGGGUUUAGAACGUCGUGAGACAGUUCGGUCCCUAUCUGCCGUGGGCGCUGGAGAACUGAGGGGGGCUGCUCCUAGUACGAGAGGACCGGAGUGGACGCAUCACUGGUGUUCGGGUUGUCAUGCCAAUGGCACUGCCCGGUAGCUAAAUGCGGAAGAGAUAAGUGCUGAAAGCAUCUAAGCACGAAACUUGCCCCGAGAUGAGUUCUCCCUGACUCCUUGAGAGUCCUGAAGGAACGUUGAAGACGACGACGUUGAUAGGCCGGGUGUGUAAGCGCAGCGAU
rnacentral:rRNA from 1 species